AAUGACUCUCGGCAACGGAUAUCUCGGCUCUCGCAUCGAUGAAGAACGUAGCGAAAUGCGAUACUUGGUGUGAAUUGCAGAAUCCCGUGAACCAUCGAGUCUUUGAACGCAAGUUGCGCCCGAAGCCUUUCGGCCGAGGGCACGUCUGCCUGGGCGUCACGC
rnacentral:rRNA from 1 species